GCCUAACACAUGCAAGUCGAGCGGCAGCGAGAGUAGUAGCAAUACUACUUGUCGGCGAGCGGCGGACGGGUGAGGAACACGUAGGAACUUGCCCAGAAGUGGGGGAUAACUAAGGGAAACUUUAGCUAAUACUGCAUAAACUCGAGAGAGAAAAGGUGCACGCAAGGGUGUCGCUUUUGGAGAGGCCUGCGUCCGAUUAGCUAGUUGGUGAGGUAAUGGCUCACCAAGGCAAUGAUCGGUAACUGGUCUGAGAGGAAGACCAGUCACACUGGGACUGAGACACGGCCCAGACUCCGACGGGAGGCAGCAAUGGGGAAUAUUGGACAAUGUGGGCAACCCUGAUCCAGCGAUGCCGCGUGGGUGAAGAAGGCCGUCGGGUUGUAAAGCCCUUUAGGUUGGGAAGAAGCUUGGUAGGCGAAUAAGCGAUCAAGUUGACGGUACCGACAGAAUAAGCACCGGCAAACUCUGUGCCAGCCGCCGCGGUAA
rnacentral:rRNA from 1 species